GGGUUGUGAGGUUAAGCGACUAAGCGUACACGGUGGAUGCCCUGGCAGUCAGAGGCGAUGAAGGACGUGCUAAUCUGCGAUAAGCGUCGGUAAGGUGAUAUGAACCGUUAUAACCGGCGAUUUCCGAAUGGGGAAACCCAGUGUGAUUCGUCACACUAUCAUUAACUGAAUCCAUAGGUUAAUGAGGCGAACCGGGGGAACUGAAACAUCUAAGUACCCCGAGGAAAAGAAAUCAACCGAGAUUCCCCCAGUAGCGGCGAGCGAACGGGGAGCAGCCCAGAGCCUGAAUCAGUGUGUGUGUUAGUGGAAGCGUCUGGAAAGGCGUGCGAUACAGGGUGACAGCCCCGUACACAAAAAUGCACAUGCUGUGAGCUCGAUGAGUAGGGCGGGACACGUGGUAUCCUGUCUGAAUAUGGGGGGACCAUCCUCCAAGGCUAAAUACUCCUGACUGACCGAUAGUGAACCAGUACCGUGAGGGAAAGGCGAAAAGAACCCCGGCGAGGGGAGUGAAAAAGAACCUGAAACCGUGUACGUACAAGCAGUGGGAGCACAGAGCAAUCUGUGUGACUGCGUACCUUUUGUAUAAUGGGUCAGCGACUUAUAUUCUGUAGCAAGGUUAACCGAAUAGGGGAGCCGAAGGGAAACCGAGUCUUAACUGGGCGUUAAGUUGCAGGGUAUAGACCCGAAACCCGGUGAUCUAGCCAUGGGCAGGUUGAAGGUUGGGUAACACUAACUGGAGGACCGAACCGACUAAUGUUGAAAAAUUAGCGGAUGACUUGUGGCUGGGGGUGAAAGGCCAAUCAAACCGGGAGAUAGCUGGUUCUCCCCGAAAGCUAUUUAGGUAGCGCCUCGUGAAUUCAUCUCCGGGGGUAGAGCACUGUUUCGGCAAGGGGGUCAUCCCGACUUACCAACCCGAUGCAAACUGCGAAUACCGGAGAAUGUUAUCACGGGAGACACACGGCGGGUGCUAACGUCCGUCGUGAAGAGGGAAACAACCCAGACCGCCAGCUAAGGUCCCAAAGUCAUGGUUAAGUGGGAAACGAUGUGGGAAGGCCCAGACAGCCAGGAUGUUGGCUUAGAAGCAGCCAUCAUUUAAAGAAAGCGUAAUAGCUCACUGGUCGAGUCGGCCUGCGCGGAAGAUGUAACGGGGCUAAACCAUGCACCGAAGCUGCGGCAGCGACGCUUAUGCGUUGUUGGGUAGGGGAGCGUUCUGUAAGCCUGCGAAGGUGUGCUGUGAGGCAUGCUGGAGGUAUCAGAAGUGCGAAUGCUGACAUAAGUAACGAUAAAGCGGGUGAAAAGCCCGCUCGCCGGAAGACCAAGGGUUCCUGUCCAACGUUAAUCGGGGCAGGGUGAGUCGACCCCUAAGGCGAGGCCGAAAGGCGUAGUCGAUGGGAAACAGGUUAAUAUUCCUGUACUUGGUGUUACUGCGAAGGGGGGACGGAGAAGGCUAUGUUGGCCGGGCGACGGUUGUCCCGGUUUAAGCGUGUAGGCUGGUUUUCCAGGCAAAUCCGGAAAACUAAGGCUGAGGCGUGAUGACGAGGCACUACGGUGCUGAAGCAACAAAUGCCCUGCUUCCAGGAAAAGCCUCUAAGCAUCAGGUAACAUCAAAUCGUACCCCAAACCGACACAGGUGGUCAGGUAGAGAAUACCAAGGCGCUUGAGAGAACUCGGGUGAAGGAACUAGGCAAAAUGGUGCCGUAACUUCGGGAGAAGGCACGCUGAUAUGUAGGUGAAGCGACUUGCUCGUGGAGCUGAAAUCAGUCGAAGAUACCAGCUGGCUGCAACUGUUUAUUAAAAACACAGCACUGUGCAAACACGAAAGUGGACGUAUACGGUGUGACGCCUGCCCGGUGCCGGAAGGUUAAUUGAUGGGGUCAGCGCAAGCGAAGCUCUUGAUCGAAGCCCCGGUAAACGGCGGCCGUAACUAUAACGGUCCUAAGGUAGCGAAAUUCCUUGUCGGGUAAGUUCCGACCUGCACGAAUGGCGUAAUGAUGGCCAGGCUGUCUCCACCCGAGACUCAGUGAAAUUGAACUCGCUGUGAAGAUGCAGUGUACCCGCGGCAAGACGGAAAGACCCCGUGAACCUUUACUAUAGCUUGACACUGAACAUUGAGCCUUGAUGUGUAGGAUAGGUGGGAGGCUUUGAAGUGUGGACGCCAGUCUGCAUGGAGCCGACCUUGAAAUACCACCCUUUAAUGUUUGAUGUUCUAACGUUGACCCGUGAUCCGGGUUGCGGACAGUGUCUGGUGGGUAGUUUGACUGGGGCGGUCUCCUCCUAAAGAGUAACGGAGGAGCACGAAGGUUGGCUAAUCCUGGUCGGACAUCAGGAGGUUAGUGCAAUGGCAUAAGCCAGCUUGACUGCGAGCGUGACGGCGCGAGCAGGUGCGAAAGCAGGUCAUAGUGAUCCGGUGGUUCUGAAUGGAAGGGCCAUCGCUCAACGGAUAAAAGGUACUCCGGGGAUAACAGGCUGAUACCGCCCAAGAGUUCAUAUCGACGGCGGUGUUUGGCACCUCGAUGUCGGCUCAUCACAUCCUGGGGCUGAAGUAGGUCCCAAGGGUAUGGCUGUUCGCCAUUUAAAGUGGUACGCGAGCUGGGUUUAGAACGUCGUGAGACAGUUCGGUCCCUAUCUGCCGUGGGCGCUGGAGAACUGAGGGGGGCUGCUCCUAGUACGAGAGGACCGGAGUGGACGCAUCACUGGUGUUCGGGUUGUCAUGCCAAUGGCACUGCCCGGUAGCUAAAUGCGGAAGAGAUAAGUGCUGAAAGCAUCUAAGCACGAAACUUGCCCCGAGAUGAGUUCUCCCUGACUCCUUGAGAGUCCUGAAGGAACGUUGAAGACGACGACGUUAAUAGGCCGGGUGUGUAAGCGCAGCGAUGCGUUGAGCUAACCGGUACUAAUGAACCGUGAGGCUUAACCUUACAACGCCGAAGGUGUUU
rnacentral:rRNA from 1 species